rnacentral:sRNA from 1 species
UCUCACAUACACCGACACAUGGUUCCGGGUGCCUAAUCUUUAAGUCAGAGAGCGGGUCGAACGCAUGGGGUGUAUGGAGGCAUAAC